AAGGAAGAGGUGAGAAGGAGUAGAAAAAGAAGCGUUGAAGGUGUUGUUGUCAAGAUUAAAUGAAUUAACAAGUCAAGUGCACAGAGGAGCACAGACAAUAAAACACACUCAGCAAGUGUCAGGGAAUAAGAACAUGAUGAACCCAUACUCAACAAAUUCCAUGGAGAGGAA